rnacentral:lncRNA from 1 species
AAUACGAACACCACAUUACUCAAAUUCCAGUAUUUAGUGAUAAAAACCACUAACACAGAAAGGAAAGUUGUCAGUAACUCUUCUGGUUUAUUCCUAAACUUGAACAACAAUUAACCAUUUAACAAGGACGUGAAACUGAAAACUAGCAUUCCACAAGUUUUUGUGCACGUGUCAAUGCAACACUGAGGCUAGUCCUCCACUGAAUACCACCACCGUGAGGAUUGCUCAUUAAUUUCGAAAUUCGAAGUUACAUAAAACCUUAAAGGCACGAAAAUACCUUUUAAAUAGAAAUAAACAAAACUGAUCAGAAGGUUAAUUGAAAGACAAAGGUACAUUUUCAGGUAUUGCCAAACAGAUUGCCUAAGACAAACCCUUCAAUGACAGUACCGGGAAUGCCCAUUUGAAAGAGAGGACCGCAUCAACAUCUCAUUGAUGGUCAUAUAGAGCGUAAAAGUAAAUGGUCAGCAAGCUUCCGGAACCCUCGCGGGGUACGCCUAUGGGGAUUAUACAUGGGCUGUCCAAUCACAUGCCAUAAUUUUUGGAAGAAUAGUUUCUAACUAAAACCACCCCAAGAAACACUCAUGUCGGAAUUUUCCCUUUGUCCUCCUAAAGUAAUAUUUAGGACAAGUCACCUGGGGACGGGUUAAAAACGAAUUUCAUUAUUGCAACCUGUCGCAAUUUCCUACUCUCCUUGUUCAUGCACAUUUAUUUUCAUUACCCGUGCUUAAGUGGAGAUUAGAUUGUACAACGUUGCAAAGAUUUACCAGUCUAUGGGUUUCAGAUUCCGUUGAGUUGAGGUGACGCAGCUCUUGUCAACAAAGGUUACAUUAUAGGCCUACAUUAGAAUCUUUCGUAAGAGCAAGUUAUUGUUUUAAGUUUAUUUCCUUAUAAAUUUCAAAAUCCUCAACGAUAUUUUGGUCUAUUUUUAUUUUGGCUUUUACCGAAAGACUAUCAUAAACUAUAAUUCUGUAAUUGUUCAUCUGCGUGCGAGACCGCCGAAUUGCACUGAUCUUCAUGUAUUUUGGAUUUUCGGAAGUGAUAGGUCAGUUUCUGGCACGCUAUUUCUCUUUAGAUCAGAUCAUUUUUCAGUUUCCAUAAAUUGAUAAUUUUACAAAAGGCCUUUUUAAGAGUAGAGCUUUAAAGAAGUAACUAAACGGAAAAAUAUUACAAAUAUUACAUUUCUGUGCGUUAUUUUUCCUAUCCAAGGAUUCCGGAAGCGCGCCAUCACAUAUCAACUUUCAGGCUCUAUUGAACUUCCCUACUAUCCACCUGCAAAAGAACUUAAAACUGCAUCAAUUCAAAUAUCAACACCAUAUAAAUCAAAUAUCAAUAUUUAUAAUCCCAUCACCAUUUUAAUGUAAAAUAAACACGAUUUAAAAGAAAUACACAGCAAAUGACUUGGAAGUUGAAACCCAAAUCGAUAAAUGUAAAAGUAUAAACCUCUAUAAACCUCAGCAUUCAUAUUGCAUUAUAAAAAUGUCAUUAUUCUAUUAGGAGAUUUCAAUUGAUUUGAUUUGCAGCAUUAUUGAAGAUGACUUGAAAAUGACUUGGUUACAUUUCCAAAACGGAAAAAAAUGCCAUUAUUAGACAGAGCGUUUAGAAAUUGCCCAGUUCUGUUUCAGAAAAAUGAACGUUUUGCUCCCUUAGGUGCAUGUGAUCACUGAAUCCUUAUGUCGAGUUUCUAAACAGGCAAAGACUCAAAUUUGUACUCGCCCAUUUAGGGAUUCUGCAGUUUUGCCUUUCAGCCGUUGGCUUACUGAUUAUGACCGGUAUGAUUCUACCUCGAAUGUAUCAACUGUGUAUCGGGGCAAAAAUGUCAGUGAUGUGACAAAUCAGUACUAUUUUCCAGACAUUUCACUUGUUUAACGUCAGACGGAUAACACCAGCUAUCAAAACAUCUGGUGCAAGAACAUCAAAACGCUUUUGACAAUAGACAGUUACAUCCCCCAAUUGAUUGAUUGCGCCCGCUAAAUCACAUGACCGAUAGUGGGCACCAAUCCCAUAUAAACUAUAGCAACGUGUGUUUUGACUGUUGUUUACAAACAGUACAGCCAAUUACGUGCAAAUGUAAUUACGUGCUUUAGAUAACACACUGUUUCCACGCUAUUUGCCAUCGGAGCCACCACCUGUAAUAUAUAUGUCAUAUUUGAGCCAGGUUGUGUGUUUUGUAAAAUAAAAUGUGUUUUCCUUUCUCAAUUUUGUUUGCUGUCGAGAGGUUCGUUGCACUCCCCCCUUGUCUAGUUGUAAGUGGUGAAUAUUUAUUUUAUGCCCCGAUGUCCUUCAUUUGCAUUGGAAAUGAUGUCUAGGGCGGCUCUAGAAUGUGAACUCUGCAUUAGAGACUCCAGAGGGUAAGUACAUACAAUGCCAGUGGAAUGUGAACAAUUGGGUGUGGCCCGUUAAUAGUGUGCACUGGAGUGUGCGGCAGUUGUGUGAGUUGAUGUGUGUGUGUCUUACCGAAUUACCCGGGGGUCAGUAAUUUCGUUGUCUUAGUCGCCAGUGGUCAAAUUCCGCUCUCAGCAAGCUCAAUACAUCUACCAGAGAUUUUGCUCUUGGGGUUUGAUAUUUGCUUUUCUUGCUUGUUCGCUGAGUGUUCAUCUUGGAGUAUUUUAGACUCCAUAAACCGUGUGACUUUGGACUGAUGACCAAUUACAAGCAACAACGGAGGCCACAUAUCUAGGGCCCUUGAUAAGUGGCACUUAAUGACAACCCGAGUUUUACUACCAACGUCUUGCCCAGCAUGGUACCUGAAAGGGGAGAUGUCAUGACUACUGGCUAUUGUGGCCGUGGCGACCUUGCUCCUGAGUGCGGCUACAUCUACCUGUGUGCGUCAACAGAUACGGUGUUUUCAGCACAUCCAUCCGGGACGCAAGAGCCAUUGAACGAUAGCGAAAGGAUGGAUUGAACAUUAUUUUGGUUAAGGCUUACUUAAAUUGAAUUUAUUUUCUGUGAAUUUGUGGUUUCACUAAAUGGUUAGUCAGUCGCCUCGUGUCCAAGUUAAUGCGGCUCGUUUUGCCUAUGUGGCUCAUUUUGCCUAUGCGGCUUAUUUUGCCUGUGUGGCCCAUUUUGCCUUGGUGGAAUGUUAUUAGGUUGUGCCCAGGUGUUUCUACUUUAUUUUGACGGUCUUUAUACAUGUACGAGCUUUGGUGUGUUUAUGUAAUUCACUACUUUAUCGAUUUGAAGGUAUCAUAAAUUUCAUGUCAUAGUGAUACUGGAGCUCCACACAGUGCACUGAUCGAUGUAUUAGUGUUUUGGGGUGUUUCGUCAUUGCAAGCCUGGUUCAUUUUAAUCUCAAACUCGAAAAACUGUACCUUUAGAUUUUAACAUUGAUGAAUUGUACAUACGGAGGAGAAAAACCUGUGAACAUUGGGAUUGUAAAUAAAUGAUUCGAAUACUAGACACUUGUCAAGUUUGUUUUCUGACAGAGUUCUCAAAAUAUAUAUCGUUACCAAGUUCUAACAGAAUUUAACUGUCUUAAUUCACGAAAAACAGGUAGUCCUUGGGAUUUGCCCGUCAGAUUAAUUAAGGAAUUCUCUGUUGAAAUUGCCAAUCCAUUGAAACUUCUUUUAAAUAUUUGUAUUGAACAAGAAGUCUUUCCCGGACUGUGGAAAACUGCUACAAUCAUUCCCGUACCUAAAGACCACGAAAUUUCUUCUUUUAACCAAUUAACACCAAUUGCACUCACUCUCAUUUUGGCACGCAUACAUGUAUUUGAAUCAUUCUUGUUCCAAGGUCCAAUGCUUAGUGCUAUAAGCGCUCGCCUAUACGGUGUUUGGCCAAAGUAUUGUAAUAGGGACAUUUUAUUUUUUCAUUCUACUCAUUUUUUUCUAUUUUUGAUGGUGGUGUAGAUAUUGUCUAUUAUUUUUGUGAUUUUGUUUUGGAACUUUUGUAUUUUGAGGAAUUUAUGGAAUCAACGUGAUGACGUUUAAUUAAAUUCCAAAUUGUCGUAA